rnacentral:rRNA from 1 species
UGGGGAAUUGUUCGCAAUGGGCGCAAGCCUGACGACGCAACGCCGCGUGGAGGAUGAAGAUCUUCGGGUCGUAAACUCCUUUCGAUCGAGACGAAUGGCCUUCGGGUGAACAGCCUGGAGGAAUGACGGUACCGAGAGAAGAAGCCCCGGCUAACUUCGUGCCAGCAGCCGCGGUAAUACGAAGGGGGCUAGCGUUGUUCGGAAUUACUGGGCGUAAAGCGCGCGUAGGCGGUUUUGCAAGCCAGAGGUGAAAUGCCUGAGCUCAACUUAGGAAUUGCCUUUGGGACUGCGAGGCUUUGAGGACGAGAGAGGUGAGUGGAAUUCCCAGUGUAGAGGUGAAAUUCGUAGAUAUUGGGAAGAACACCGGUGGCGAAGGCGGCUCACUGGCUCGUUUCUGACGCUGUAGCGCGAAAGCGUGGGGAUCAAACAGGAUUAGAUACCCGCGUAGUCCCUGAGCGGGCUGGCAAGGCGCAU